rnacentral:rRNA from 1 species
CCUACGGGGUGCUGUAGUGAGGAAUAUUGGUCAAUGGACGAGAGUCUGAACCAGCCAAGUAGCGUGAAGGAUGACUGCCCUAUGGGUUGUAAACUUCUUUUAUAAAGGAAUAAAACGAGGCACGUGUGCCUUUUUGCAUGUACUUUAUGAAUAAGGAUCGGCUAACUCCGUGCCAGCAGCCGCGGUAAUACGGAGGAUCCGAGCGUUAUCCGGAUUUAUUGGGUUUAAAGGGAGCGUAGAUGGGUUGUUAAGUCAGUUGUGAAAGUUUGCGGCUCAACCGUAAAAUUGCAAUUGAUACUGGCAGUCGUGAGUACAGUUGAGGGAGGCGGAAUUCGUGGUGUAGCGGUGAAAUGCUUAGAUAUCACGAAGAACCCCGAUUGCGAAGGCAGCUGACUAAACUGGGACUGACAUUGAUGCUCGAAAGUGUGGGUAUCAAACAGGAUUAGAUACCCGGUAGUC